AUUUGUAAAAUUGAGAAUGAUUGAAAAAUCAGUAUUUUUUCACCCAAAGGCAUGAGUGAACAUUUGAUAAGUUUAUUGUGAUUUAAUUGGUAAUUUGGUCGACAUUUUGACAAUUAUAUUUAGCAAUAUUUCGAUAAAUGCGGACCUGCUUCUUCCUCUUUUCGUAGUGACGGUGUUUCGAUAACUCAGGUCAGUUUCACGGCAAAAAUAAGUGGUAGUUUUGAAAUUCGAAUGUGCAUUUAUUGAUGUAACGAUAAAGUACAUUUCCGAGAAUAAUUAGUGAAAGUUUCAGUAGGUGUCGAUUUUUGUAAAGUAGUGUAUAGGCGAUGGAUUGGCUCAGCCAUGUGCUCGUCGUGUCAGCGGGGCGCAAGCCGUCAUGGGGGAUGUAGGCUACACUACAAUGCACGUGAUUGAUGGUUGAACAUUCACUCUCGUUGACAGUGUAUUAUUGAAAUAUUUGAUUGUGAUGAUGGUGUAUUGUACUAGGCCUUGCAUGCUCCCAACGUGUGGCAUAUUUCACAUUGAUACUACCAGUAUCAAUUACAAAAAAAUAGAUUGUGAGUAACAGUAGGCCUACAAUACAAUCAAUGCUACAUGUUAUGAGGGUGGGAACGGGGAAGGGGGGGGUAACUGUCUCGACGUCCCGUUAGAAAAAAAGGCUUAUCCCGUUUCCCAAUAUGCAAUUUUAGCCGAAUCGUGACGCAAAACACGGCUUGUCUCGAAUCCCGCUAAAAUAAGGGUGUCUAUCCCGAAUCCCGACAGUUAUUUUCGGCCCAUCCCAGUGUCCCGAAAAUACCUGUUCUCCCCCUCAUAAAUACUAGUAGACCAUAUUGUCACAUUGAUGUUUUCUUUCAUUACAGUUAGACUUCGAGAUCUACAUUUUCGACAAAGUCCUGGUGUAAUAUUACGUACUUGAUGAAGGUUUAAUGACACGAAUGAGUACAAGUACAUUACAUUUUUCGACGAAGGCCUUCUGUAAUUUCAUACGCUUCUUACGCAACAUUCAAUAGAUUUAUUUACUGUAUUAUCAUUUCGACCAAGGCGAAUUCGACACUUCAAUUACACAAGCACAAUCAAACUUAGUCAUUCCAGUCAGUUACUGAAGCACAGCGAAAACUGUCUGAAUUAGUGCUGCUGAUGGCAUGUAAUUACUCUACUACCACUACCAGUGACAGUCAAUGUCCAUAUAUUUUCAAGUGUGCGAAAUUAUUACUCGUCUACUUCUUAGUGUUAUUUGAAUGCAAUGUAUGUUAUAAAAAUAUUUUUUCAACACUAUAUCAACAUUCUCAUUCCUGUCAGUUUCUGAAAAUCAGCUAAAGCAAUCGCUACCAAUGCAGCUGAUAACAGCAAUUCUUUUUGUUCCCAAUGCCCAUCCAUGACAAUAUAUUUCACGCAUGUGACAAUCAUGUAAUCAUCCUGUUUUUUGUGUUCUAUUCAUGCAAUAAAUAAAUUCAGUAUUUUCAAAUCAUUGGUGCUACAAAACUAUUCUCAUUAUAGAUUAUUCAUAUUUCAUAAAAUGCUGUCAUGUCAAAUUUUGUGUCCUAUAAAUCAUUAUGAAGUCGGCAUUUUAUAUACAACUUUUGUACUCCUCCUAAAUAAACAUACAAAUCUUGUUUUAUGUAAACUUUGUAUAUUGGACCCGUCACAGCAAAACCAGGCGCAUGUCGCUCUGAGCUUGGCAGGUUGAGACGGACUGUUUGUUCAUUUAUCUAUUGUCUGCCUUUUGUAAAAUAUGAGCACAUCAAUUUCUUCCAUUAUCUCCUGGUGUCAUUUAGGCUCAUCUUCUGUGCGACAUGUACCUGGUUUUGCUGUGACGGGUCACAUAUUCUAUAGAUAUACAACACUCUAAUGUCACAAUGCCUCUCUCACUCGCUUUUAUAUAGCAAGAUGUAUGAAUAAACAUGACACACCAACUAUGUACAAAAUUGCUAACAAACUGCACCAUUUGUCAGUACACCACAUGAAAUACAGAGAUAUGUCUUAAUUCUAAUCUUUCAUUAGCGACACCAUUUCUUACCCGAGUGCCUCCUUCAUUCAUACAUCUUGUACUUUAACUCAAGAUACCCAUCUUUGAAUAUUUUUAGUAUACCAAGUACUACAAUGUCAAUGUAUUGAAGUCAUGUUCUUGUAGUGUUAUUGGCUUUCUAUUAUCUUGUCAAAAUACCACUUGGUUCUCGCAAAAUCUCAAUAAAAACAAAUGCUAUUGCAUGUAUUGCAUAUUCUAACAGCUAUCCACUGUAUCGAUUUAUCCAUCAUCUGUACUAUUUGUCACAAAAAUGUUAUAUAAUGUAAAUCAUAUUUCAUUACAUAAUGCACACUGCCAAUUACUGCUGAACCAUUCAUAUGUCAUUUAAAUAAAUAAUUUUCAACUUUUUAAAACCGUCUUAUAGUACUGUUCUUGUUUAUAGUACUGUUCUUGUUUCUUAUUUUUAGUAUACCAAGUACUACAAUGUCAAUGUAUUGAAGUCAUGUUCUUGUAGUGUUAUUGGCUUUCUAUUAUCUUGUCAAAAUACCACUUGGUUCUCGCAAAAUCUCAAUAAAAACAAAUGCUAUUGCAUGUAUUGCAUAUUCU